rnacentral:rRNA from 1 species
CACGGGGGUCGCGAGCGUUGUCCGGAAUUACUAGGCGUAAAGGGCAGGCAGGCGGAUCCAUAAGUUUAUCGUUUAAGGCGUCGGCUUAACCGGCGUAGGGCGGUAGAUACUGUGGAUCUGGAAUGCGGUUGGGGAAGACAGAAUUCCUGGUGUAGCGGUGGAAUGCGCAGAGAUAAGGAGGAAUACCGAAGGCGAAGGCAGUCUUCCAAGCCGUUAUUGACGCUCAACUGCGAAGGUGUGGGUAUCAAACAGGAUUAGAUACCCUGGUAGUCCCUGAG